UACGUAGGGUGCGAGCGUUGUCCGGAAUUAUUGGGCGUAAAGGGCUCGUAGGCGGUUUGUCGCGUCGGGAGUGAAAACUCAGGGCUUAACCCUGAGCCUGCUUCCGAUACGGGCAGACUAGAGGUAUGCAGGGGAGAACGGAAUUCCUGUGUAGCGGUGAAAUGCGCAGAUAUCAGGAGGAACACCGGUGGCGAAGGCGGUUCUCUGGGCAUUACCUGACGCUGAGGAGCGAAAGUGUGGGGAGCGAACAGG
rnacentral:rRNA from 1 species